rnacentral:rRNA from 1 species
UACAGAGGGGGCAAGCGUUGUUCGGAAUUACUGGGCGUAAAGGGCGCGUAGGCGGCCUUCUAAGUCGAACGUGAAAUCCCCGGGCUCAACCCGGGAACUGCGUCCGAUACUGGAAGGCUUGAAUCCGGGAGAGGGAUGUGGAAUUCCAGGUGUAGCGGUGAAAUGCGUAGAUAUCUGGAGGAACACCGGUGGCGAAGGCGGCAUUCUGGACCAACACUGACGCUGAGGAGCGAAAGCCAGGGGAGCAAACGGG